UACAGAGGGUGCAAGCGUUGUCCGGAAUCACUGGGCGUAAAGGGUGCGUAGGCGGCCGGGUAAGUCUGAUGUGAAAUCCCGCAGCUUAACUGCGGAACUGCAUCGGAUACUCUCCGGCUAGAGGAAUGGAGGGGAGACUGGAAUUCUCGGUGUAGCAGUGAAAUGCGUAGAUAUCGGGAGGAACACCAGUGGCGAAGGCGGCCUUCUGGGCUGUCCCUGACACUGAGGCGCGAAAGCGUGGGGAGCAAACCGG
rnacentral:rRNA from 1 species